AUCGUAAAUAAAAUUCUAUCAUUGAUUAGGAAUAAUACACGAUGUCGGUGUUCCAUAUUAUGUCAUGUUUAUUCAAUACUGAAACUUUGAAUACAUGAAUAAUAUAUCUAUUCAUAUACAAAUAAUGAUUCAAAAUCGAAAGUGCAAAGAGAGCGUUACUUUCGCAUUCCGUUUUCCUAUAUAUUUCAUCAGCUUUGCCGAUAAGAAGAUCUUCAACAAGUGAGUAGGAAUUAUAAUCAUAAUGGGUAAUGCUGGAAGCAAUCAACCAGUUAGUCAUCAUCACAGUAGUAACACAAACAGAGAACGUCAUGUUAAAGAAUAUCCUCCACCAUCGCCAGGGAAAGAAGGUCACGCUUUUGUUUUUGAUAAAAAGCCAAGCCAAAAAUUAGUUUUCCAAUCGUCUCAUGAAGAUGAAGAAUCUUAUUUUGCCAAAACUAACACUCAACAAGAUGGAGAAGAAUUUAGUUCUCAACGUCCACGUUCUAAUACAGUGUCAGAAGGAACCAAGGUAACAGACAGCAAAGUGCUACCAACAGUUUUUAAAUGGGAGGGAGGUGGUAAACAGGUUUAUAUCAGUGGAACUUUUACUGGAUGGAAAACUUUACCAAUGGUUAAGAGUCAUGGUGAUUUUGUAACAAUUAUUGAUUUGCCAGAGGGUGAACAUCAAUAUAAGUUUUUUGUUGAUGGUGAAUGGAGACAUGAUCCAGAUAUAAAAAUUGUUGAUAAUGGUAUGGGUUCCAAGAAUAAUUUGGUAUCUGUCAGAAAAUCUGAUUUUGAGGUCUUCCAAGCUCUUGCAAAAGACAGUGAAAGUGUUACUAGUAGUGCUCAAACAGAAUAUGGACAAGAAAUUCCUCCACAUAAACCCUGGGAGAAAGUGGCUGGACCACCAAUAUUGCCACCUCAUUUGCUUCAAGUUAUUCUUAAUAAAGAUACUCCUUUAUCUUGUGAACCAACACUUUUACCAGAACCAAAUCACGUUAUGUUAAAUCAUUUAUAUGCUUUAAGUAUUAAGGAUAGCGUAAUGGUUCUAUCGGCGACGCAUCGUUAUCGCAAAAAAUAUGUUACGACUUUAUUGUACAAACCAAUUUAAGAUUAUUAAGUUAUUCUCAUAGUUAUUGGCAACUGUUAGUUACAUCGAAUCAAGGCGUAUUUUGUAGCAACCAGGUUGAACAGGGGUUCCUCCAUUUGGGUAAAAAUCUACACUUCCUAAAGGUUUUAAAUAACCUAAGACUCCACCACAUGAAUGAAUAAUAUCAACAAAUAUAGCGUCCGUAGGAUCUAGUCGAGUUUUAUCCGAUGUAAGCAAAUGAAAUCCUGGUAGAGCAGGAUCUAAACCAGUUAUUCUUCCUAAGCGUCCGAAAGUUACUAAACUUCCGGUAUUACCAGCUACAUGCGCUCCAAGAGAAUGCCC